UCCGGUGACUUUAGCUGAGGGGUCACACCUCUUCCCAUUCCGAACAGAGAAGUUAAGCCCUCAUACGCCGAUGGUACUGCAUGCGCAGGUGUGUGGGAGAGUAGGUAGUUGCCGGUU
rnacentral:rRNA from 1 species